rnacentral:lncRNA from 1 species
CUACCAUUAACGGUGAAUGUAAAAGAUGUCAAUAUAAUAAAUAGCGAAACUGAAAAAAGAGUAGACCAGAGAAAAGGAAAAAAUAGAAAAUAGUAUUUGAGGCCUCCAUGGAAUAAUGAUUGGCAACUAAACCGCCAAAAAAAUCUACAACCUCAUACGAUUGAGCUUUGUAUUCAGUAUUAACAAAUCAUUGUCAAGCUGCCUUCUUUGACAAGCCAGAAAAGCAUGAGUCCAAGGCAAAAGAGAAAUAAAAUCAAGAAGGAAGAACGGGCGAGUCAGUGUAGAAUCUUGAUACCUCUGUCACUGUGUAACAACGACGAACACAAGGGAAGCUUAGCAAAAAUGGGCGAAAAAGGUAAAAAAAACAUCUAAGAAGUAAAGACCUCUAAUAAAACAAAUGGCAGCAAAGGAUAAGCAUAGCAAACCUGUAGCUUCAUUGUCAUUUUUGUUAAAGCCUGUAAUUUCUCAAAUAAGUCUCUAGAAGCCUUUGAUUGACUGUUAGACAUGUACCCAGAGCAAUUAACUACAAGCUUUAUGAAAUAAUGUCUUAUGAAAUUACUCUACAUUACUGAAUUAAUGCACCAAUACAGUUUUUCAAGAAGAUAAAGAUAGUGGGUUACUUGAAUUUAUAGAAGAGAAACCCACCAAUCAUAACAAAUGAGAAGCACGCUGCAAGAAGCACCACCAAAAACCUGCAUAACCCCAAUUUAAGAUUCAUUCUAUCAAGUAAUAGAUUGACAUUGUCAAGUAGACGCACUUUAGGAGAUCUGUCAAAAGAAAUGUAUGAAACAACAGAUUGGCAGAGUUCAGCAAUACUAAACCUCCCUUGCGUGAUUUUUUAACCUAUUUUAAGUAUACACGUGUUGACCAAAACCCAUUCCUUUCUCUACUACUAAAUUAAGAGCUUCUCAUUUCUGAUGGCUCAAACAUGUUGAUUACACAUAAUUGUAGUUAGUUAUACUGAAUCUAAUAAUAAUUGUUGUUAAUUAGCACCUAUAUAUGACAACUAUUAUAAAUUUGGUUGUGGCUUGAUAGUCAACUAUAUGCAAAUGUAAUAGAAUAUAACAACGUACCCACCAUAACAGCCCCCACCAUCUAGGGCUUGAUUGUAAAAUGUAAACUUUAUUUUGUAUUUUUCUAUAACUGAUAUAACAGCCCUGCAACUGAUGUAACAGCCCCUUAGUUUUGGCCUUUGGGCAUCAUAAUUGCUAAAGAUAUUAUAUAAGGCUAGAGAUCAAGCAUAAAAAGUUAAAAUUAUACACAAUUAAGAGGAAAAAAUUACACCAAGGGGGAAAUUCACUUUACUUACGUGGCAACAUUUUUCUCAAGUUGUAUGUUGAAUAAAUAAAGUAAUCGUGAAAAGUUCCAUCUGAUAUCUUGUAAUGAAGGAAAAGAUACAUCCAACUGAAGAGGUGUGGGCUUAUUCAAGGAAUUAAAUAUACAAGCAAAAGGAAAGCUUGCCGUCACAGAUGUUCGAAUGACAUGAAAGAAUAAGUCUUGGACCAUAUUAAACACUGUAUUGCCGGAAUUUGGUUGUAUCAAUGUGACCAGGAAAUAAGAUGACAGACAGGCUAUCGUGAGUUUAGUUUGUGGACCCAGCACAUGCUGUAAUGCAAAUAUAAAUCAGUUUAAAUAUUUGUGGUUGCAACAAGCAUGAUAUGCGUAUCAACCUAUAACUAAAUGGAUAUGAGCAAAUGUGUCUUACUCUUUUUAUAUAAAAGAAUGACUUGUUAAAAGAGAUUAAGAAAAGGAAGAAGUUACAGUGGAAGAGGACCAGGAGCCCUCUUAAAAGACUAAAUAAGUAAAAGUUAAUUAUAUAGUACAGCGUUCCAAUCCCUCUGGAUAUCAUAAUCUCUAUCACCUUGAUAUGACCCUCUAGUAAAAAAUCAUUACAAAAUAAAGUUAUAUUCUCUCUUUAGAUUAGAAGAAAGGACAAACUUGACACUAAAAGACACUUGGAUUUCUCUCCAAACAAAUACCAAAGAACCUCAAACAAUAACAAAUAUCUUAAAGAUAUUUCCAUCCUUGCCACCACCAAAUCCUCAAACUUGAAAAGAAGAACAUUUUCAAUGCCAGAAGUCAAAUCUUAGAUAUCUCAAAAAUAUCAAACAAAGUAUUCUAGAGAAAAUUUUUAUGACUCUCAUGUUCUUUGGUACCAACUCUUAACAAUUCAUUAAUAGAAGGUUUCUCUACAAAGAAAAAAAUGAGGAAGAGGAAUGGUACUAUUUUUUGCUUAAAACUACAUAAAUAAUCAGGAAGGGAAUGCAGCAAAUUAAAAAGUUGGAUAAAAACUGACCUCUAAAAACCGGACCAUGUGAUUUAUAUAUAAUUCAGAUUGGACGAAUUAAAAAAUAAAGGCUAGAAUACAUUCCAACAAUAUGAAAUAAAUCAAAAAUUAAUAGACAUAUCUCAAUUACUAACUGAAAUUUUUAAAGUAAAAGUUCAUUCUUAUCAAUUUUGUGCUUCAACUCCUACUUAAUUAAAGCACACCUGAGAAUGGUUUUUGAGGUCCAUCUUCAAUAUCUUAUCAUUUAAAUUCUUUGAAAUACUCAAAUUAGUAGCAUAAUCCAGUUUGGCCCUUGUCGUUUGAGAAUUGACUUCCCACUUCCCUGGCAAAUAAUGAACGGAAUCAUCACAAGGGCAAAACAUAGGUCUUAAAAAAAAUAGCAUGGGUGAUGAGUAUGAAAUAUGUUAUAUUUUUAUUCUUUAAUACUUAAUUUUUUAUAUUUAUUUUGUGCCUAAAUACACUCAUUGUUCUUAUAUUUUUAUUUUAGGUAUAAUUGAAAAUUUCCGUGAAUUUGAAAAUAAUUUGAAGACAAAUUGAGUAUUAUUGGAUUAAAGGAGCUAAUAUUCAAGUGGGUCACGAAUUAUUCAAUUGGAGAAAGAAUUCCUAGCAAUCAAAAGCAAUGCACGGAUUCCAAACUAAUAUUAUGGGCAACAUGAGAUCCUAGCCCAAUUAAUGCUCCAACAUAACAAGUACCCAUCCAAUCCUUUUAAAUUAAUAUUACAAAUCAUGUGGGCCACAGUUUGCUUUUGUUUUCAUGCAGCAAACUUGCAAUCCUUACAUUUAUUCACGUGGGCAAUAUAUUCAUGGAUUCUAAUUCUAAUUGGAAGAGGAUCCACUAAGUCACAAAGAAUUUAGCAGCUUCACGCGACAUGGAAAAAUCCGAACGCGGCAUGGAGAGUUGGCACAAGGCAUAUUGUGGAAUUUAAUUCCAAUUUCAAAUCUGAUUUUUGGAUUCUAGAAAAUUAAUUUUUACAAUUCUAUUGUAAUUAGGAUUUCUUUUAGACUAAGAUUUAUUUCCAAGUUGAAUUCUAUUUCUCUAUGGAAAUUAGUGUAAUUUGUAAUUUCUUUAGGAUUUGGAUUUCUACUUCCUAUAGGAUUUAGGACUUUGUCUAGCACUAUAAAUAGAGGAUGAGAGUCGGGGUUUUAUUCAUUCAACAAUCAAUUAUCAUCUAUUAGAGUGCACACUCAAGAGUAUGUCAGGCUAGUUCUUUUCAUUCAGUUCUAAAGGGAGGUAGAACCUUGUUACAAGUAAUUAAUUAAUUGAGUAUUAUUAUUUAUUACUUCUUGUGUGAAAUUUCUUUUGAUAAUCUGUUUUCAUUGAUUGCACGCUAAUUGAUCUAAUUAAUUUAAUAUGGUCAAUUGAGUUAGUUUGGUCGUUAUCAUAUGCUAGAUUAAGAUUGGUAUUACGUGUAAUUGAUAACUAUCUUCGUCACUAGUAGUAACUUGAUAAUAAUAAUUAUGGACAAGCUUUUGUUUAUUGCUAAGAUUAUCAAAAAACAAGUUAAACAAAUCGAGCUUAUGCGUUUGUUACUUGGAUUAGCCUAAUUCUCUAUUUCUUAAUGCUUCUAUCAUAUUAAAUCUAGAGAGCUUAUUAUAGGUUGUAUGCUAGUUAGAAUCUAGUGGAGAGCUUGUUUCAUAUAGUGAUAAUCUAAGGAGAAUUUCGGAUAGCAGAGCUUAUUGUUAUCUAGGGCUAAUAAUUUCAUUGAAGGGAAAAAAAUAAUUAAUUGAUUAAUUGAUUGUUGUACUUGGUGAAACUGAACUGCAGAACUGAAGUUUUUACAUAUUUGGUUAAAUCAUUAAUUCUUGUUCUCUUAGUUUAAAAAUAAUUUUCAAAAACCCCCAUCUUUAUUUUCUAUCAAAAUAAUAGAAUAAAUAUAAAACAAAUUACUCUCUGUGGGAUCGAUCCUUACUUACUAAUAGAACUCUCAGGGAUGGCGAUUCAAAACAACAAUAGAACUCUCAGCGAGUUGGCAACUCCUAAUUUAAAUAAACAACCUCUGUGCAAUGAAUAUCCUAAUUUAGAUGUUGCAUUUGAACUUAAAUCAGGACUAAUCCAUUUACUGCCUACUUUUCGUGGUCUUACAGGUGAGGACCCUUUCAAACAUCUAAAGGAAUUUCAUGUGGUGUGCUCUACUAUGAAACCACAUGGAAUCACCGAAGAGCAAAUCAAGUUGAGAGCAUUCCCAUUCUCCCUAGCAGAUUUGGCAAAGGAUUGGUUGUACUACCUACCCUCAGGUUCAAUACAGUCUUGGAAUGACAUGAAGCAGUUGUUCUUGGAGAGAUACUUUCCAGCCUCAAGAGUAGCCAACAUAAGGAAGGAGAUCUGUUAGAUUAGACAAUUCAGUGGGGAGACACUAUACGAGUAUUGGGAAAGAUUCAAAAAGCUUUAUUCUAGCUGUCCACCGCAUCAAAUAGAUGAACAAUACCUGAUCCAAUAUUUCUACGAAGGGUUGGCACCGAUGGAUAGAAGCAUGAUCGAUGCAGCUAGCGAAGGGGCACUAGUUGACAAGACCCCAAAGGCUGCAAGGAAUUUAAUUGUAAACAUGGUAGCAAACUCGCAACAAUAUGGCACUAGAACAAAUCAUGCACCAGUAAGGGUAAGCGAGGUAAGCACUUGUGAUUAUGGUCAACAAAUUUCUGAAUUAACUGCUAUGGUUAGACAAUUAGCUACAGGUCAACUUCCAGUUGCAAAGGUUUGUGAAAUAUGUUUACAAUCAAAUCACAAUACAGAUCAAUGCCCAACAUUACAAGAUGACGAGGCUGUGCAACAAGCUAAUGCAAUGGGAAAUUAUUAGCCACCUCCUCAGAGAAAGUAUGAUCCGUACUCAAACACGUAUAACCCAGGAUGGAGGGAUCAUCUAAAUCUGAGUUAUGGGAGCAAGCAAGCGGCACCACCUGCAUUUCCACCUAGACAGCAGGGCUUCCAACCAGCCUAACCUCAAUAUCAACCGAAGCAAGCAGUCCCUGCACCUACUGGAACAUCAUUGGAGGAUAUGUUCAAAGCAUUCAUGGGACAAACACAACAAUUCAUGCAAGAGACAAAAACUUCGGUUCAAGAUUUGAGGAACCAAUUAGGACAAUUGGCUACAACUGUGGGGAUAUUGGAAUCCAGAGGCUCAGGAAAAUUACCAUCUCAAACAGUAGUCAACCCAAGGGAGAAUGCAAGUGCCAUAACUUUACGGAAUGGAACACAGUUGGAUACACCACCGACCCCCGUAGAGUUCGAGAAGGAAGCAGCUAAGGAAGAAACAAAAAAAUCCAAGGUGCAACCUAACCCUCCUAAUCAGCUUAAAAACAUUCCUCUUCCCUUUCCUCCCAGAAAUUCUAAAACCUCAAAGAAAGAUGAAAAAAAAAAAGAAAUUUCGAAAACUUUUAGAAAAGUAGAAGUGAACAUCCCUCUUCUUGAUGUAAUUAAACAAGUACCAUGGUAUGCUAAAUUUUUAAAAGAAUUAUGCACUAAUAAAAGAAAAUUGCAAAAUGAUGAAAGAGUCACAGUUGGAGAAAAUGUAUCUGUUGUUCUUCAAAGAAAAAUGCCUCCUAAAUGUAAAGAUCCAGGAAUGUUCACAAUCCCAUGCAAAAUAGGAAACAUCAGAUUUGAAAAAGGCAUGCUAUAUUUAGGAGCUUCAAUUAAUGUUAUGCCUUUAUCUGUUUAUGCCUCCUUAAAUCUAGGCCCUUUGAAAAAUACUGGUGUGAUUAUCCAAUUGGCAGAUCGUACUAACACCUACCCCCGAGGGGUAAUUGAAGAUGUCUUAGUGCAGAUGAACGAACUAAUCUUUCCUGCAGAUUUUUACAUUGUGGAUAUGGAAGAUGAUACAUCACCAAACCCUUCCCACAUCUUGUUAGUAAAACCCUUCCUAAAAACAGCAAGAACUAUGAUUGAUGUGCAUAAUGGGACCUUGACUAUGGAGUUUGAUGAUGAGAAAAUUUAGUUUAACAUCUAUGAUGCCAUGAGGUACCCUACUGAUAUAGGACAGGUUUUUGCUAUCGAUGUGAAAGACUCCUUGGUGCAUAGAGCUUUUGAACAACUACAUAGGGACAGUUUAGAAAUUGCAAUCACCAACAGUUUGGACAUGGACAGGGAAGAAGAGAUUACGCAAACCCAAGAAUUGAAGGAGAAUGUAGCUGCAUUACAUUCAUUGCCAAAAUUCUCAAAUAAGUUAGCAGUACAUUCUAUUUAAUUUCUUGUUUCUCAUCAAAAGUUAUUACCUUCUGUUGUACAAGCCCCAACUCUAGAAUUGAAACAAUUACCUGCUCAUUUGAAAUAUGCAUAUUUGGGGACUAAUGACACUUUGCCUGUAAUUAUUGCUAGUAAUCUAACCAAGGUGCAGGAAGAAAAAUUGCUGAGAGUCCUAAAGCACCAUGUUACAGUUUUUGGAUGGACAAUAGCGGAUAUCAAGGGUAUUAGUCCUGCCAUGUGCAUGCAUCGGAUAUUGUUAGAGGAUGGAGCUAAGCCUACAAGAGAUGCGCAAAGGAGAUUGAAUCCAUCCAUGAUGGAGGUGGUGAAAAAAGAAGUGCUCAAAUUGCUUGAUGUCGGUAUCAUCUAUCCCAUCUCCGAUAGUCAAUGGGUGAGUCCAGUGCAGGUAAUCCCAAAGAAAUCCGGAAUCACCAUUGUCAAGAAUUAUGAUAAUGAGUUGGUGCCCACACGAAUGCAAACAGGGUGGAGAGUAUGUAUAGAUUAUAGAAAAUUGAAUGUUGUAACAAGAAAGGAUCACUUUCCUCUUUCUUUUAUUGAUCAAAUGUUGGAGAGAUUAGUUGGGCACACUUAUUAUUGUUUUCUAGAUGGUUUUUCAGGAUAUAACCAGAUUGUGAUUGCACCCGAGGACCAAGAGAAGACCACAUUCACAUGUCCCUUUGGUACUUUUGCCUAUCGACGGAUGUCUUUUGGACUGUGUAAUGCCCCAAGUACUUUUCAACGAUGCAUGGUAAGCAUUGUUUUCAAAUCUUUUAGAAGAAUGCUUCGAGGUUUUUAUGGAUGAUUUUACAAUUCAUGGUGAUUCUUUGGAUGCAUGCUUAGAUAAUUUAAAUCGUGUUCUAGAUAGAUGCAUGGAAACUAAUCUUGUUUUAAAUUGGGAAAAAUGUCAUUUCAUGGUAGAACAGGGAAUAGUACUUGGACAUGUUAUGUCAUCUAAAGGUCUUGAAGUUGAUAAAGCUAAGAUAAAUGUUAUAUCUGCUUUGCCUUACCCCGUCAGCGUGCGGGAGAUUCGCUCUUUUCUUGGUCAUGCAAGAUUUUAUCGAAUAUUUAUCGAGGACUUCUCGAAGAUUGCAUUACCCUUAUGUAAGUUGCUACAAAAAGAUGUGGACUUUCAGUUUGAUGGUGAAUGCAAGGAGGCUUUUGACACUUUAAAGAAAUUAUUAACUUCUGCCCCUGUCAUUCAACUGCCAAAUUAGAAGUUGUCAUUUGAGAUCAUGUGUGACGCAAGCAACUAUGCAGUGGGGGCUGUUUUGGGACAAAGGAUUGACAAAGCCGUUCAUGCCAUCUACUAUGCUUCGAGGACUUUGAAUGAGGCUCAGAUAAACUAUUCCACAACUAAAAAAGAACUUUUAUCUGUGGUUUUUGCUUUAGAUAAAUUUCAAUCAUAUUUGCUUGGUACUAAAAUUAUAGUUUAUUCUGACCAUGCUGCUCUCAGGUAUUUGCUCACCAAGAAAGAUUCUAAAUCAAGGAUUAUUCGAUAGAUUCUGCUCUUACAAGAAUUUGACUUAGAGAUCAAGGAUAAAAAAGGUGCGGACAACUUAGUAGCAGAUCACUUGAGUAGGUUAUUGAGAGACGAGGAAGAGCUACCGUUACAUGAUUCUUUCCCGGAUGAGCAGUUACUUUCCAUCCAUGCUGAGAUUCCCUGGUAUGCAGAUAUGGUGAAUUAUUUGGUAAGUGCAUAUUUUCCUAAAGAAUUUUCCAAAUCCUAAAAGGAAAAGUUAAAAAGUGAUGCUAGACACUAUGUUUGGGAUGAUCCAUACUUGUGGAAAUUUGUGCUGACCAGAUAGUUAGACGAUGUGUGCCUAACAGUGAAUUUCAAUCUAUUCUUUCCUUUUGUCAUUCUUAUGCUUGUGGAGGACAUUUUGGUCCAAAAAGAACUGCUAAUAAAGUUUUGGAAAGUGGUUUUUAUUGGCCAUCGCUUUUUAAAGAUUCCUAUUUGUUUUGUAAAACAUGUGUUAAUUGCCAAAGGACGGGGAAUAUUUCUCAACAAAAUCAAAUGCCCCAAACUCCUAUAUUAGUUGUUGAGAUUUUUGAUGUAUGGGGUAUAGAUUUUAUGGGACCUUUUUCCUUCAUCAUUUGGGAAUUUAUUCAUUCUUUUGGCUGUUGAUUAUGUCUCAAAAUGGGUGGAAGUUAAAGCCACUAGGACUGACGAUUCUAAAGUUGUUGCAGAUUUUGUUAGGACUAACAUAUUUGUCAGGUUUGGAACACCACGAGCCAUCAUUAGUGAUCGCGGAACCCACUUUUGCAACAGGGUGUUAGCGGUUUUGUUCACGAAAUACAAUGUUCUGCGCAGAGUAAUGGUCAAGUUGAGGUGUCUAACAGAGAGAUAAAAUCCAUUUUGGAGAAGGUAUUCAACCCGAGCAGAAAGGAUUGGAGUAUGAGAUUAGAUGAUGCACUUUGGGCCUAUAGAACUGCGUAUAAAACAACUAUUGGGAUGUCACCAUACAGGAUUGUGCUUGGAAAACCAUGCCACUUACCUGUUGAGUUGGAGCAUAGGGCUUUUUGGGCAAUCAAGCAGUGCAACAUGAGUUUGGAGGCAGCUGGAGUACACAGGAAAUUACAGUUACAAGAGUUAGAAGAAUUGAGGAAUGAAGCCUAUGAAAGUUCAAAGAUUUUCAAGGAAAAGACCAAAGUUUUUCAUGAUAUGCAGAGCGGAAAACCUUUAUUGUGGGACAGUUUUGCUAUAUCAUUCUCGGAUUAAGUUAUUUCCAGGUAAAUUGAGAUUUAGAUGGGUUGGUCCUUUUGUUAUCACUAAUGUGUUUCCUCAUGGUGCAAUUGAGAUUCAAAGCCCGAGCACAAGCAAGAUCUUUAAGGUGAAUGGACAUAGAUUAAAGCCUUUCUAUGAGGGGCAUCAGGUGGAAAAUAUUGAGAUGGUGGAGCUAGACGAUCCGAUCUAUGAAAGCUGAGAAGAGAGGCAUGACGUUGAGCCAAAGACGUUAAACACGGGCAGCUGCUUGGGAGGCAAUCCAAGAUCUCAGAUUUGAUUUUUCUAUCCCUUCACUUUUUAGUUUUUUUUAUUGUAUGUUAGCUAGUAGUAUUUUCUUCUUCGCAUGAUUUUUUUACAUUGGGGACAGUGUAAGGUUUGAGUGUGGGGGGGGGGGGAGAUUUAGGUUUUAUUUUAUGUAGGAAUAAUAAUCCAAUUUUGAUGGGAAGUUCAAAAAAUUGAAAAAAAUCUGAUUUUUUUUUUUUGAAAACUUGGGUUCCAUGGUUCUAUUUGCCUAUGUGUUCGAAGGUUAAAGUCAAAGAUUGAAAAUUGAUACUAAAAUUCAUAAUCUGGUUGAUGCUUAAUUUGUUAAUGAAUGAUGACAACUAAGCCAUGAUCCAUAGUAAUUGAUUUAAAUUGAAUUUGUGAUACAUGAGUACUUGAAUAUGAGAAGCAUGUUUAUUUGCCUAAGUUAAUUGUGGAGUUGUCUAUGUGCACUGAUUUCAUGACUUAGAACUGUUUAACUUGUUUAUGUUGUUGCAGAACCAUGUGAAAAAAAUGAUGAAUGAAAAAAAAAAGGAAAAAAAUGAAAAUUGAAAAUCUGCUUCAAUGUCCAUUGUGCGAAUAACUGGGUAUCUAAGCCUCGAGAAGCAUCGGUAUUCAUGCUAAAAAGUGUGAUGGAUAAAAGUAGCUUGACUAGUCGACUUUUGUGACCUUUGUUACUUGAAUAAGUAAGCCUUAGGGGUGUCUCUACACCUAGCGCCUUAAGAUCAUCUGGUUUGGGAGUCGUUGGUGGAAAGUUCGCUAAUGGGCAACUCUGAAAGCCUAAGAAAAUGAGACAUUGCACAUGUCAAGAAAAGAAAAAAAAUAAUACGAGAAAAGCAUGAAAAUACAUUCAUCUGUGCUAAAGAGGAUGUUCUAUAGAAAAAAAUUAAAAAGUAAGAAAAAUUUGUUCUUGGUUGUGAGUCAGUGUGCAUGGUUUUUGCUUCAUGGUAACUAAGUUGAGUAAGUAUGUAGAUUUUGGGAAAGUUACUUAUGUGGCUACAAUUUGGUUUAAUGAAAUUCAUUGGUGAAAUAGUAAGGUUUUUCAUUGUGAGUUAACUGAUAAGACAUUGAUUAGAAUUUUGCAAAUUUAGUUUUGAUAAUCAUGAUUUGUAUCUUGAAAUCUUUUGACAUGAUGGUUGAAUAGAAUUUUCUGGAAAUCAAACUUUUGAUUUACACGAGGACAAGUAAAAAGAUAAGUGUGGGGGAAUUUGAUGAGUAUGAAAUAUGUUAUAUUUUUAUUCCUUAAUACUUAAAUCUUUUAUAUUUAUUUUGUGCCUAAAUACACUCAUUGUUCUUAUAUUUUUAUUUUAGGUACAAUUGAAAAAUUCCGUGAAUUUGGAAAUAAUUUGAAGACAAAUUGAGUAUUAUUGGAUUAAAGGAGCUAAUAUUCAAGUGGGCCACGAAUUAUUCAAUUGGAGAAAGAAUUCCUAGCAAUCAAAAGCUAUGCACUGAUUCCAAACUAACAUUAUGGGCAACAUGAGAUCCUAGCCCAAUUAAUGCUCCAACAUAACAAGCACCCAUCCAAUCCUUUUAAAUUAAUAUUACAAAUCAUGUGGGCCACGGCUUGCUUUUGUUUUCAUGCAGCAAACUUGCAAUCCUUACAUUUAUUCAUGUGGGCAAUAUAUUCAUGGAUUCUAAUUCUAAUUGGAAGAGGAUUCACUAAGUCACAAAGAAUUCAGCAGCUUCACGCGACAUGGAAAAAUCCGAACGCAGCAUGGAGAGUUGGCUCACGGCAUAUUGUGGAAUUUAAUUCCAAUUUCAAAUCUAAUUUUUGGAUUCUAGAAAAUUAAUUUUUACAAUUCUAUUGUAAUUAGGAUUUCUUUUAGACUAAGAUUUAUUUCCAAGUUGAAUUCUAUUUCUCUAUAGAAAUUAGUGUAAUUUGUAAUUCCUUUAGGAUUUGGAUUUCUACUUCCUAUAGGAUUUAGGACUUUGUCUAGCACUAUAAAUAGAGGAUGAGAGUCAGGGUUUUAUUCAUUCAACAAUCAACUAUCAUCUAUUAGAAUGCAGACUCAAGAGUAUGUCAGGCUAGUUCUUUUCAUUCAGUUCUAAAGGGAGGUAGAACCUUGUUACAAGUAAUUGAUUAAUUGAGUAUUAUUAUUUAUUCCUUCUUGUGUGAAAUUUCUUUUGAUAAUUUGUUUUCAUUGAUUGCAUGCUAAUUGAUCUAAUUAAUAUAAUAUGGCCAAUUGAGUUAGUUUGAUCGUUAUCAUAUGCUAGAUUAAGAUUGGUAUUACGUGUAAUUGAUAUCUGUCUUCGUUGUCUUCGUCACAAGUAGCAACUUGGUAAUAAUAAUUGUGGACAAGCUUCUGUUUAUUGCUAAGAUUAUCAGAAAACAAGUUUAAAAAAUCGAACUUAUAUGUUUGUUACUUGGAUUAGCCUAAUUCUCUAUUUCUUAAUGCUUCUAUCAUAUUAAAUCUAGAGAGCUUAUUCUAGGUUGUAUGCUAGUUAGAAUCUGGUGGAGAGCUUGUUUCAUACAGUGCUAAUCUAAGGAGAAUUUCGGAUAGCAGAGCUUAUUGUUAUCUAGGGCUAAAAAUUUCAUUGAAGGGAAAAUAAUAAUUACUUGAUUAAUUGAUUGUUGUACUUGGUGAAACUGAACUGCAGAACUGAAGUUUUUACAUAUUUGGUUAAAUCAUUAAUUCUUGUUCUCUUAGUUUAAAAAUAAUUUUCAAAAACCCCCCAUCUUUAUUUUCUAUCAAAAUAAUAGAAUAAAUAUAAAACAAAUUAUUCUAUGUGGGAUCGAUCCUUACUUACCACUGUGCUAAUUGUUUGAAUUUGUAAAGUAAAAGUGAGUUAAUUUAGGAGUGUAAAUGACAGCUCCCAAUGGGUUAGUAUUAACAUCAGCAAAAAAAAGGGAUAAAGGAUAACCACAUGUGGGUCCAAAAUAAUUCUAUCUAACAUAUGUAAACAUUAAAAAAUUGUACAAGUACAAUCAUCUGUAUCAAUUACCAUGGCAUGUAUAUAGUGGAGUAAUAAAAGAAGUAAGUUUAGUAUAAGCUAUGUCACAUAAGGCAAAUAAAACAGAGCAAUCUCCUAGCAGGAUAAUGAUCACUAACCCGGAAACCAAUUUGCAUACAAACUUCAACCAGUGGCAUAUUGGAUUGUUUGAAGAUUGUUCACAAAAAACUGUCAAGUGUGAAAAAAGUUAGGUAACUCAACUAUAAUCCUAAAGGCAAAUGUUUCGGGGGUUAAGUUGGGUUGACCUUAUACAAGAUGCAAAGGUGAAUCCAUCCUUUGCAUAUGAUGGGCAAUUUUCCACCUUAGCUCUUGAAAAAUCACAAAAUAGAAGGUAUAAUGAACUUAUAUUUUGAACCCCUUGAAUUCUAAAAAAACAUUAACCUUUUAUAUAGAAUUUGAUCCCUUGUCUAUGAUGAACUUAAGUCCCUUACCUUUAGUCUUAAAAAAACACAUUCUAAUUUUUUUUUAACUUUAUUGCAACUACCAUUUGACCCCUUGUGUAAUACUAGCUCCACCUGCCGAGAUGGCUUGUCUAGAUCAGUACUAUAAAGGAAGCCCAAACUCUCCUUCCCAUUUUUUCUUCACAAGUGUUUUACAUUUUAUAUUUUAGAAAAGGAACAUAUUUCAAAUAAACUGAAAAUGCUUGCUUUCAGAUCAUAAGACAUUAUUUCAUAAGAAAGAGAAAUAUCAUCAAUUACUGCAUACUGCACAUUAACAAACAUUCAUAAACUUAAUACACUACCAAGCCAUCUUGAGCAACAUAACAUUAAAGAAACACAAAGAACAUGUCAAAAUUUACAAAAAAAGAGGAAAUAAUCUCCUGCACCUGUCUAAAGUCAACUUCAACAACCCACCAGUGAACACUAACAUGUAAUGCUGAGAGGGAAUGAUUUAAAUGGCAAUAAUACCAGCCACACUCAUGGGAUAAUGCUAUCCAAGAGAGCAUUUUUAGCAGGUUAAAAAUUAAACUAGACUAGACUGCAAAACUUUAUCACAAACAGCUUCUCUUUUUUCCUUUUUUUGGGUAUUUAAUACUUACUUUUAAUCUAAAGUUAAAUUAACCUCUACAUCCCACUUACAAAAUAAAAGAAGGAAACAUUCAGCAAAAAGUUUAUUGUAUGAUCUGCCAAAUAAAAUUCUCCCUAUUUACACAACAUUAGAAGAGAUUCCAAGUAAAAACCUAUGUCUUCUAAUACCUAAAAUCUGAACUUGGGGUUUAAGCUAAACAAAUGGCAAAUGUUCCUAGCCAAAAAAAAAAUCAACCACAAAUAGCAAGCAUAUUCAUUGUGACAAAUUACCGGGAUCAUUAAAAUAUAUAGCACAUGUGGGUUUGGUCUCUUAAGUACAUUAUAUUAUCCUCUCCUUGAUAUGCCUAAAAAAAUUAUAGUAAUCUGUACUAGAUAUCUCAAAUUUCAACAGAUUUCAAGUGUGAACAUAAAUGAGCUCAAUCAGGAUACAAAAGAAGAAACAAUUAACAUAUUUCCCUCUUGUAAAUGAACAGAAGAAGGCUGAGAAGACUAAACUACUAAAAACUGCAAAUUUGGUCAAAUACUCAAAUCUCUAUAGCUCAGAAAUCUGAAGAAAAAAGUUACAAACUGAUCUAAAAAUUCUACUAAAAAAAUUUAUCAAAUUACCAGGAAAAUCAGAUUCAACCAAAGCAUUUGUAGGUAGAAAAAACCCCAUAAAAAUAAAAUUAGAAGAUCUUAAAAGAAGAAUGAAUUGUCGGGCCGGGGACUCGGGGAUAGAAGAUGGGGUCAGUUUUGAGCUAGCAAAUCUAUAAUACCUCUACUGUGGUUUCGUCUCUUCGAGAUUGACUGAUGAUGACCGAUGAAGGGCCGCCGAAGGCGAUGAGGGAGGCGAUGCGCCGAUGGCCGUCGGCGACUUGAGAGUUCGAGAUCUGGUUUUGGGAUGAGAGAUUGAGAGUUCGAGAUCUAGGUACUUGGUCUGGGUUUGGGAAUUGAGAGAAUGAGAGUUACGACUUCAGAGUGGGC